rnacentral:lncRNA from 1 species
CUCUUCUUCAUCCUCGUCCUUCACAAACUUCGGGAUAAGAUCCUUGUGCUGAGAAUAAACAGUUUUCUUUGUGUUCUCGCCCUGUCUCACAAUUGCAUCAUAUCUUACUUCACCAUGCUCGUCCACGGUAACAGGCAAAGUCUUUCCCCAAGCUUUCCAGUCUUUCUUUCUGCCCAUAUCAAGUGGAUAAUACACGAUGAUUUCAUAUCUUACUUCACCAUGCUCGUCCACGGUAACAGGCAAAGUCUUUCCCCAAGCUUUCCAGUCUUUCUUUCUGCCCAUAUCAAGUGGAUACCGAGUGUAAUGGAUUUCAGGGAAUGCUCCUCCAU